CCAUGUUGUGCUACCUGGCAGCAUCCCAGCCUUUGCAUCCACAGCUCCCUUGUGUGGCCCAGAGGCAAAGGGACCCCCCUGAUGGUCUUUCCUCUCCUGUUCCAGCCUUCUCUACUCUUGACCUGAUGCCUCCCACCAGUUUGGUGGACGACUCGUCUUCCCCCGGGCCAGGCUCUGAUGGUGACACAGAUGACAAUACGGAUGGAAACGGCAGGGGACUGCUUGCUGCAUUUUCCCGAUUCAUUGCAAAAGCCAUUCGUUUUGUGUGUGACAAGUACCAAAAGGUGUUUGGGCUGCUGUUUGGUUGAAAGACAAUGAAUGUGGGAGUGGGCAGGGGAAUGGAAGGAGUCUUCCAUCCCUGCAGCAACAUCUACUGCUCACCGAAGUUGGGUCCAGGAUGGUGAUCUUGAUGCUGGCUCCUCUCACAGGGGCUUUGACCCUACCCAGCAGAGCUGACUCCACUGACAUCCGCUCAACCGCAGUGUCUGACCAAUGUCAAAUUCGAAAUAAAGUCCA
rnacentral:lncRNA from 1 species